UACGUAGGUGGCGAGCGUUGUCCGGAUUUACUGGGCGUAAAGGGCGUGCAGGCGGUUUGUUAAGUGCAGAGUGAAAGCUCCCGGCUCAACUGGGAGAGGUCUUUGCAUACUGGCAAACUCGAGGGAGGCAGAGGAAAGUGGAAUUCCCGGUGUAGUGGUGAUAUGCGUAGAUAUCGGGAGGAACACCUGUGGCGAAGGCAGGUCUCUGGGCCACUACUGACGCUGAGGAGCGAAAGCAUGGGGAGCGAACAGG
rnacentral:rRNA from 1 species